CGGAGGAGCUUGCUCUUGCCAUCGCAGAUAACGCCGAGCUCGCCAAGCAUCGUCGUGCCUCCGCCUGCCGUCGCUGCCCUCGCAACAACUCGCCCAGCAAAAAGCAGAGGUAGAAGCUUCCAUGGCGACCAUAGCCACGAUGGCCUUGCUCAAGCCCGCCAAGAUCGUGGUGCGGUCGGCGCUGCCGCCGUCCACCAGCGGCGGCGUCUCGCUACGCAGCCUGGCGCCCAAGAAGCAGAGCGCGCUGGCGGUGUCGUCGUCGCCCGCGGCGGCGGCGAUGGCGGGCGCCUUCUUCCACGCGCUGGCGUCGUCGGACGCGGCGCUGGCGGCGCAGCGGGUCGCCGACGUGGCGGCGGCGGACGCGGGCAGCGACAACCGGGGCCAGCUGCUGCUGUUCGUGGUGGCGCCCGCCAUCGGGUGGGUGCUCUACAACAUCCUGCAGCCGGCGCUGAACCAGCUCAACCGCAUGCGCAGCCAGGCGGUCAUCGCCGGCGUGGGCCUCGGCGCCGCCGCCACCGCCGCGGGGAUGGCGUGCGCGCCCGAAGCCUCGGCCGCUGUCCAGGACCUCGCCGCGCUGGCGGCCGCCGCGGCUGCCCCCGCCGACGACAACCGGGGCCUGCUGCUGCUCAUCGUCGUCGCGCCCGCCAUUGGGUGGGUUCUCUUCAACAUCCUCCAGCCCGCGCUCAACCAGCUCAACCGCAUGCGGUCCGACUGAGCGAGCUCUCUUGCCAAGCACCUGCAGUGCGUGUGCGUUCGUGUGUAUUAAAAUUAAGGAUGGUAGUAACGUGAAUCGCGGUCUGCGUGCCCUGUGUUUCGAUGCAAGUU
rnacentral:lncRNA from 1 species